GACGAACGCUGGCGGCGUGCUUAACACAUGCAAGUCGAACGGAAAGGCCCUGCUUUUGUGGGGUGCUCGAGUGGCGAACGGGUGAGUAACACGUGAGUAACCUGCCCUUGACUUUGGGAUAACUUCAGGAAACUGGGGCUAAUACCGGAUAGGAGCUCCUGCUGCAUGGUGGGGGUUGGAAAGUUUCGGCGGUUGGGGAUGGACUCGCGGCUUAUCAGCUUGUUGGGGGGGGUGUGGCUUACCAAGGCUUUGACGGGUAGCCGGCCUGAGAGGGUGAACGGCCACAUUGGGACUGAGAUACGGCCCAGACUCCAACGGGAGGCAGCAGUGGAGAAUAUUACCCAAUGGACGGAAGCCUGAUGCAGCAACGCCGCGUGCGGGAUGACGGCCUUCGGGUUGUAAUCCGCUUUCGCCUGUGACGAGGCGUGAGUGACGGUAAUGGGUAAAGAAGCACCGGCUAACUACGUG
rnacentral:rRNA from 1 species